rnacentral:rRNA from 1 species
ACCAGACUCCUACGGGAGGCAGCAGUGGGGAAUAUUGGGCAAUGGGCGCAAGCCUGACCCAGCAACGCCGCGUGAAGGAAGAAGGCUUUCGGGUUGUAAACUUCUUUUCUCAGGGACGAAUAGAUGACGGUACCUGAGGAAUAAGCCACGGUUAACUACGUGCCAGCAGCCGCGGUAAUACGUAGGUGGCAAGCGUUAUCCGGAUUUACUGGGUGUAAAGGGCGUGUAGGCGGGGACGCAAGUCAGAUGUGAAAACCACGGGCUCAACCUGUGGCCUGCAUUUGAAACUGUGUUUCUUGAGUACUGGAGAGGCAGACGGAAUUCCUAGUGUAGCGGUGAAAUGCGUAGAUAUUAGGAGGAACGCCAGUGGCGAAGGCGGUCUGCUGGACAGCAACUGACGCUGAGGCGCGAAAGCGUGGGGAGCAAACAGGAUUAGAUACCCCUGUAUUA